rnacentral:rRNA from 1 species
UACGUAGGGCGCAAGCGUUGUCCGGAAUCAUUGGGCGUAAAGCGCGCGUAGGUGGCCAUGUAAGUCCGCUGUGAAAGUCAAAGGCUCAACCUUUGAAAGCCGGUGGAUACUGCAUGGCUAGAGUACGGAAGAGGCGAGUGGAAUUCCUGGUGUAGCGGUGGAAUGCGCAGAUAUCAGGAGGAACACCAAUAGCGAAGGCAGCUCGCUGGGACGUUACUGACACUGAGGCGCGAAAGCGUGGGGAGCGAACAGG